rnacentral:tRNA from 1 species
UGAUGCUUAGCUCAGUGGUCAGAGCAGGUGCCUUAUACGCACAAGGUCAUCGGUUCAAACCCGAUAGCAUCAACCA